CAACAACAUCACCACCAUCGCCCGGGAUGCAUGGCGAAAUCUUGAUAACAAUGCACGGAGGACAGUACAUGGCUAUUUCUUUGCUGGUUCGUCCCAUCGACUCUGAUCCCUGCGAUCCCGAGGCUGAAGCUGAAGCUGAAGCAUCUUGUCUCUCCAAAGCCGGCGUUGUACGGAGCUAGUGCCGGUUUUCACUCAAAUCUUUCUACGCUUCGGCUACGAUCGCAAGAACGGGUGGUUACUUCCAAUGGAAUACAUACAGGUCGUACAUUCCUCGAUGUCGGCAGAUCUGGAAGUGUUGUAUCUUGAUUUCAUUCAAGACAACAGAUAACCCUGGCAAAACGAGAAUCCAGGAUGACAGAAUUAUGUUUUCAUGGAUUAUCCACUUCGUCGAUUCUCCUUUCGCCUGUACCUUGUUCAAGCAACCCAUGUUUAUUUAGCCUUUGGGCCCUGAC
rnacentral:sRNA from 2 species